UUCCAUGGCGGGCCAGGCGAGGCAGCCGCAAGGCUGGCUGGUUUUCCCGGAGACUGGUUUCCACCCUCGCAGUCUGGCCCGCCACCUUC
rnacentral:antisense_RNA from 1 species